AUGCAGAGUAUCCUUCACUGCUUUUGGGUGUACUUUGCACUUACAGCUGCAGCUGCAUGCUGGGUGUUUGUUGGUUGCUUCAGCAGUGCUUUGAUUGCUGCAAAUCUAGCAAGUUGCCUGACAGCUCCAUAUCUCAUGGUCUGCAUGAUUUCUAGCACCGCAUGUGACGGCCAUUUCCUGGCAUCUUCGCUGCAUUUUCCAAGGCCUACAACAGUUAGUAACCAUCAGGUCGCCAACUUCGGCGGGAAAGUCUGCCCAUGGCUUCAGAUUGACAGGGUCAUUGCUAGCAGUAUCAAAUUUUGUUUGCUAAACACAAGUCUUGAUGAGAUGUUGUGUCAUAGAACUGAUUUCUGUACAUUCGCCGGUUUUCCGAUCCCAAUACAAAUAUCAACAGGUUUAUCUUUGGGUGACCAAAACACACCAGCCUUUUCUCCAGAAGGAGCUACAAACUGCAAGCUGCUGGUGCAGCGCUACAUGUGGCACUGUAUAGCUUGGAUAUUGGCAAGGCAUCACUACAGAGCUCAGGAACACCCUCUCUACUUCUUCCGAUGCAUUUCUUCUAAGCAAGCACAUAACAUAGUCCAUCACCACCGCGUCGAAGGGCAGUGUGAUCCUGCCGUCGCAUGUGAACCCAAACUCUUCCUGGGACAUCCUUAG
rnacentral:rRNA from 1 species